rnacentral:rRNA from 1 species
AUUGAACGCUGGCGGCAGGCUUAACACAUGCAAGUCGAGCGCCCGUCUGCCUGGUUAUUAAUGUCUUGGAAACUGCCUGAUGGUUGGGUAUAACUACUGUAAACGUUAUCUAAUACCUCCUCCCAUCCUAUUUGCCCCGUUGGGAUUAGCUAGUAGGUGGGGUAAUGGCUCACCUAGGCGACGCUCCCUAGCUGGUCUGAGAGUAUGACCAGCAACACUGGAACUGAGACCCGGUCCAGACUACUACGGGAGGCAGCAGUGGGGAAUAUUGCACAAUGGGCGCAAGCCUGAUGCAGCCAUGCCGCGUGUGUGAAGAAGGCCUUCGGGUUGUAAAGCACUUUCAGCGAGGAGGCGGUAAUCGAAGAAGAAGAAAAGGCUAACUCCGUGCCAGCAGCCGCGGUAAUUG